CGAACCCGAAAUCUCCUGGUAGCCUGCGAAUAUCACACACAUUUGACUCAAUAACUGGGUAACAAACAAUUCGGGCUUUUCAUGCUCUCUUGAGAUUCAGCUAACAAAUUAGAACCAAAUGAGUAAUCAGGACCUUGAAUUAUCAUAAUCUAUUGUCCAAGCUAGUUUAUGAGAGAUAUGAAUGAAAAUUCAGCAUUGUUCAUGCUAGUAACUCAGAUAUAAAAGAGAAUAGACUUACGAGCCAUCGAGCCAUUCAGGGUCAAGGAAGUUGCCACCACCUUUAACGGCAGGGAUCCAAGAUUUCUUAGGCUGAGCAGCCGCAGCAGCGACAAUAAGAGUUUUCCUGCCAACUCUCUGA